ensembl:lncRNA
CAUGUAUGUGCGUGCAUGUGCUUAAAAUGGCUGCAGUGAUAAACAAACACUCAUCUUCAGUUCACGGCUGCUAUCAAACGCUACUCCCGCUCAUGAUGCACGAGCCGGGUCACGAAAGCCACGUCUGUUUCACCUCAGAAUAAAAAAUGAAAACGGCAACAACAAAAAGAAUUCCAAGCACCUUGCCCUCGCGACAGAGCGAACACACGUGCCUAGUAUAGAUUAAGCCCCGAGCUGUCAGAGCUAAUUGAAAGUAAUAGAGCCUGCAGUCAUUGGAUUAGCGUGUUAGACAUUGAUACUGUCGGGCUGGAAACAGUUGGUCCAGAGAUUGAAUGAUAUUAGAAUUGGCAGGGGCUGUUUCCAAAUGCGGACUGUGAAAUGCUUUGGGCGUUUUGCUUUAGGAUUUUCAAAGGUGUGAAUCUUGUUUCAUGAUGUAUCAGAAUUUUGUCCUCUGGAGAGGAAAUGCAUAAUGCAAAGAGGCCUUAGGGCGACUUUGCUUGAGGAAAAAUUGGAAGACGCCCAUGGGAGCAGCCAGUCAUCCAUCACAGGCCAGUGUUGAGGCCAGCGCUGUGGCCCUGAGGACCAGCCUGCCCACAGCAGCAAAGCAGCUAAUAGCGACACAGAACACAAGCACCCCUGGGGAGGAGACCAAGCAGUCACUUGCUACGAAAACAGAGCAGUGGAGGGGAUCAAGGGCUGGAGGGUCUUUCUCCUUCUCUUUCGCUCCCCUUCCCGCUUCUAAAAUGUUCCUCACAUUCCCCGGCAAUCUGUCGUGCUGCAUCUGUCCCGUACGGCGGAAAGGGCGGACAUGACUAAUCUAAGCCUGCCAUCUGGUUAAAGACAUGGCCCCUGCUGUCGCCUGUAUUUCCCAUGACUCCUCACCGCUCCUCUCCCCGUGGAGUCACGUCCGGAGAGGUCAAAGGUCAACCCUGUGACCUGCAAAGAGGCAUUGCUCCUGCUGCUCAGAGGUCACGUCCCCUCUGUAUCCCACCAUAGCUUGAAAGAUGUCAAAACACACCUCUGCACGGGUUUUAAUAUCUUACAAGAAAAGGUGGAGUGCAUGGUGUGUGUGUGUGUGUGUGUGUGUGUAUUUAUAUACAUAUAAUAGAAAAACUAAAAUAUAUACAAUACAAUACCUUUCAGAAGGGAUCAGUACUUUUUUUGAAAAUAAAUUAAUACUUUUACUCA